GAGCGAAAUCGGUGCAGGAAUUCGCAUGCGCUGACCUUGAGAUUCGAUUUAGGAGGCAUCUGCGGCGAGCAGGUGCAUGGCUUCUUGAGCUCUGCUGUGUGGUAAUGGACUGCCGCAGUUAUGGCUGUUUUAGGUCCACUACAGUAUUCAUCCAGCGAGCGGUUUAGAAGUCGUGCAGGUUUUCUAGUGCCACGGUCUCCAUAGCUAAGAGUGUGUUUUCCUUCUCUUUCAGCCCAAGCCAGCAAAGCGAGAGGCUACUUGCAAGUCUGUCUUACAAAAAGCACACUUCAGUUAACUGUCCUGUGUCUUUCAUGCUCAAAGGGCUCUGGUGCAAGGGCAAAAGAGGAAAAAAGAAAGACACAGAUUGAGAAGAAGAUACUGUAGUUAUGCUAAUCUCAGACGCUCCCACUGUCUCUAUUUUCCAGGAACAGUCCCAGAUUUACAGAAGCCAUCCAGGUUUCUGAUUUGAUCCCAGAAUGUCCCGCUUUUCCUUAGGACGUCCCUAUUUUCAUUGGAGAAAUGUUGGAAGAUAUGGAGUUAAGUGACCCCCAAGCCAAGAAGAUGAGUAACCUUUAGAAGACAUCUGAAGGCAGCCCUGUAUAUGGAAGUGUUUAAUGUUUAAUAUGUUGUUAUAUAUGUGUUGGAAGCUGCCCAGAGCGGCUGGGGCAACCCAGUCAGGUGGGCGGGGUAUAAAUAAUACAAUUACAGUGGUACCUCGGGUUACAUAUGCUUCAGGUUACAGACUCCGCUAACCCAGAAAUAGUGCUUCAGGUUAAGAACUUUGCUUCAGGAUAAGAACAGAAAUCGGGCUCCAGCGGCGCGGCAGCAGCAGGAGGCCCCAUUAGCUAAAGUGGUGCUUCAGGUUAAGAACAGUUUCAGGUUAAGUACGGACCUCCAGAACGAAUUAAGUACUUAAUCCGAGGUACCACUGUAUUAUUAUGAAAUAGGACAUCCCUGUUUUCAUCGGAGAAAUGUUGGAGGGUAUGUGAUCUCAGGUAGCAGGUUUUCCAUUCUGUUCUUCUGUGUGGGGCUAAUUGACAAAGACGGCCAAUCAAUUUCCUAACAACUCUUCAUGCGG